CUCACUGUCAUUGGCAAUAAAACAUAUUAUCAUGUUAGAAGUAAUCAAAAACUAUAUAUUUUUUACAUUUACUUAUGUUAUUUGUUUUAUUUGAAAGCAAAUACUUGCAAUGUUGGAUGUAUUUAACUGUGUAAGUAACACCAACUCAAGUUUGUAAUGUAAAUAUUAAAAAAGGCGCUUUGUAAAUCGGUGUAGUUUGUCCCUUGGAAGACUCCGUAUAUCCUGGCUGAUUUUUUUUCAUUGCGGCGGAGGGAGCCACGUGUCCUGAGCGGAGGAGAGAGUUACAUGCUGUGGAUAGAGCCAAAUUCACCUUUCAAUACGGGUAAGUGAAAGUCUUUCUUACUGAUUUACGAAACUAUUCUGUGUGAAACUGUUAAAUUACUGACAAAAAUUGGUUAAAUAUACCGACGAACUGUUGUUCCAUUAAGUACUGUUAGCUUAGAUGGUGUGGUUAGCUCCGUUCACUAAGUGAAAGUCUUUCUUACUGAUUUAUGAAACUAUUCCGUGUAAAGCUGUUAAAUUACUGACAAGAAUUCGGUAAAUAUAUCGGGGAACUAUUAUUCCACUAGUCCUGUUAGCUUAGUUGGUGUGGUUAGCUCCGUUAUCACAGCUACAACCGAACCCCAGCAGUGUGGCGGCCCGCCACGCCUGAAAUCCCACUGCCACGCUAACAAGUUCCCAAGUUGUUGGUUUUUUUUUUUUUUUUUGGCGCUGUUUCCCGAGGUUGGGUGUUUUCAUCUGAACCCUUAAAACCUCCAGCAGGCUACGUUGCACUAUUGACUUGUUAGCGCGCGGCGCUAACUAUUUAGCGACGUGACAUAUCUCGGAGAAAGCGUAAAAACACGUUGGACGCUUCUUCUGAAGCGGGAAAAUAACACUUCUUACGACGUCGCCUCGGCUCGUUCACGGCCGAGCCGGACUGAGCUGAUAGCAUUGACCCAGCACAGCCAUUGACAUUAAUAUAGCACUGGGGCGUUGGAGCUGCCCCGUGACUGCCUGAUGGAAAACCAGCGGGUUUCAUCAGACUCGUGAAGUUUUUUGAUUUUGCUGGGGACCCCCUGUAUUAUACUGCUCCCUCCUGCAGUCUUCCCCUAUUAAAAUUUAAAAUGCUUCUGUAAAUUUCGUGUAUCAAUAGAAAAAAUCUCUGCCUCUGCCAGCUGCAGUAAAUGUACUUUCCAAAUAAUAAGAGGUGCAUUUAUCUGUGUAUCUCCUUUGAUCUGCAUUAGUGAUAUUCUCAGCACCAGAACAGUGAAGCAAAGAAACAGAUUCCAGAGUUUGUUAGUAAUUUUAUUUAUUAGGUGCAUCUAACCUGUUCUAUUUUUCUCUGAAAUUAGAUCAAAUCAGUGCUUCUAUGGGUUGGCUCCACUCUGCACUAGAAUUUUUUACUUUAUUUAGAGACGUGUCAUAAUUUAUUUUGACAAUUUAACAUCAAUAAUUUAAAAGCAAUUUAAUGUUGUUAUUUAAAAAUACAUGUGCCUUUGUUUACAAGCUUUAUUUAUAAUAAAAAAAGUUAAAACUGCAAUUACAAAAACUAAGGGUUACUAGAAGUAAAAAACAAAUCCGCUAAUAAACUUGAGAGUGAAAAUAAACUAAGCAAGUAUGUGUGUAUUUUCUUUGGCCUGUAAUCAAUUAUAUUUUUAAACGAUUGCCUACUCAAUAUUAGCAUUUUUGAAUAGUUUUUAAACAAUUCCCAUGUUCCCAAUUUUUUUAUAUUUCAAGCUUUGUCAAUGCAUAAGUAAAGUUAAACAAAUCUACUUUAUGAAUAAACCAGCUGAUAAUGUGUAUUUAAAUAAAUAAACUACUUGACUGUUAAUAUUUUUGACUUUUUUUCUGUUCUUUCACAGAUAUGAAUGUGGUCUUGUAAAGAUUGUGGUUCAUCUGUAGCAUCAAGAGUCCAUCUUCUAAAGCACUACAGGUUAGCUCAUGACAAUUUUGGUCGCAGACACCCAUAUCCAUGCACUUUUUCUCAUUGUCCAUGUGUGUUCAAAACUUGGAAUGCUCUUCACAGUCAUUUAAGCAGGUCACACACAAAUAAUACUGUUGAAAAGCAAGAUAAUUUAGCUACUUUUAACUGUCAUUUGUGUACAAGCACCUACAUAUCCUCUCAAGAGUAUUUUAGCCAUAUUAAUUAUCAUCUCAAGAACCAUGAAACAGUGACUUGUGUUUUUCAGGGCUGUUCUUUCCAAACAAAUAUUUCUGGUACAUUCAAAUCCCACAAAAGUAGAAAGCACACUCCAUAUUCACUUCAAGAUUUUAAAUUAGGUAUUGUAAACCACAGUGAAACAGAUGAUCCUACAGAUGAUAAAACAUCUAAUAUUGGUGAGUGUAGUGUUGAUUCUGAUAGAGAUAUAGAAACUCAAGCAGAAGAACAUUUAUCAAAGAUUAUAGAACUGAAAUUAGGAUCUCUUCUACUCAAGCUUGAAAACUAUUUUCAUGUUCCUCGUACAGCAAUAGAUGAGCUGCUUGCUGAACUGCAUUAUUUGAUAGGUUCUGCAUCUGUGCCCAUAUCUAAUGAAGCAAUUCAAGAAACAUUCAGAAAUAACAAUGUCUGUGUUGAGCCGAUUGUGAUUACGGAAUUGACCACUGCAUUAUCUUCGUGUAAUCCUCUGUUAAAAGGUAUAGCAAAGGAUGGGCCACUAGCUACUGGUCAUAAACGGAGAAAGUAUUACAAAGAAAAUUUUGACAUUGUUGAUCCAGUAGAGUAUAUACUGCAAUCAAAACCAAAACAUACCUUCCAGUACAUUCCAAUUCUGAAAACUUUAGAACAGUUACUCAAACAGAAAGAUAUACUCAAGAAAAUUGUUGAUAGUCAUUCCAAUCAGCGUUCAGUAAAUGGGAAGUAUAGAUGUUAUCAAGAUGGUUCCCACUUUAAAAAUAACAAAUUUCUUUCAAGUGAGGAAUUAAGACUGUCUUUGUGCCUUUACAUAGAUGACUUUGAAAUUUGUAAUCCCUUAGGGACAUCACGAAGAAAACACAAACUUUGUGGGGUUUACUGGAUUUUAGGGAACUUGCUACCAGUUUGUCAAUCAUCCCUGGACUCAAUUUAUCUUGCGUUGCUCUGUAAAAGUGAGGAUGUGAAAACAUUUGGUUAUAAAAAAAUUUUUGAGCCCAUUCUGAAUGAUCUUGUUACAUUGGAGCAAAAGGGAAUUUUCAUUGAUCAUCUGGGAACAUUUAUCAGAGGUACUGUUCAGUGUGUAGUUGCAGACAACCUUGGAGCCCAUGGAUUAGCUGGAUUCGUGGAGAGUUUCUCUGGAGAUUUUUUCUGUCGCUUUUGUACUGCAACACGCAGUGAAAUUCAGUCACAAGAGGUGAAAGUGGGUGGCUUCAAACUCAGAACUAAAGAGCUACAUCAAGCACAUGUAGCAAGUGCUUGUGAAGAAGGAAAACCUUAUUGUGGAGUCAAAACUAAAUGUGUUCUAGCUGAGAGCCUUUCAUUCUUUGAGGUUACAACAGGUUUCCCCCCAGAUCUGGCUCAUGACCUUUUUGAAGGUAUAGUACCCGUUGAACUUGCUGAAUGCUUUGGAUUGCUUUUAGCCAAGAAGUACUUCACUCUUGAUGGUUUGAAUGAACUGAUUCAAGCUUUCCCAUACAAAUGGGGAGAUAAAACAAAUCGGCCUCAUUUAUUGCCACGUGCUUUCCUCAGCAAAAGAAGUAUUGGUGGCAACUCACAUGAGAAUUGGUGUUUGCUAAGACUAAUACCACUGAUUGUUGGAAAACUAAUUCCAGAAGAUGAACCAGCUUGGCAGUUAAUAUUAGAUUUAAAAGAUAUUGUGGAUCUCGUAGUUUGCCCACUACAUACCGAUGAGUCGAUUGCAUUCUUGGAGACAAAGAUAUCAGAGCACAGAUCCAGGUACUGCACACUUUUCCCUAAAAAAAAACUGCUACCCAAGCACCACUACCUGGAACAUUAUCCUGCACUGAUCCUUCGCUUUGGUCCACUUGUUUCUUUUUGGACUCUGAGGUUUGAAUCCAAGCACAGUUAUUUUAAACAAGUUGUGAGGCACACUAACUGUUUUAAAAACAUUACAUUGUCUUUAGCCACUAAACAUCAGCUGAUGAUUGGCCAUAGUAUAAUUUCAUCAAGAUUUAAAAAAGACACUCUUGAGGUGACACAAGUCUCAACAGUCCCUCUUGAUGUCCUUAAAGAAGAGGUUGCAGUUAGCCUCCAUCAGAUGUACCCUGACCUUACUUUUGUUAAUCUAACAGAUAAUGUAUCUGCUGAUGGCAUCAGCUUCAGAAGUGGCAUGAUAAUAGUGCAUGGAUUUGUUGGUGGACUGCCAGACUUUGCCGAAAUUGUGCAUAUGUGUGUUUUGAAAGAUGGACUUGUCUUCAUAGUGAAGAAAAUAAACUCAUGGUACAGAGAACACUAUAGAUCAUUUGAGCUGGAUCCUUCUUCAAGCAGUGUCUCUGUGAUUGAGUUGAGUAAACUUGUGGAUCGUUACCCCCUCUGGGAUUACAAAGUGGGCAGUUUACGAAUGGUUACUCUGAAGAGAUACAUACAUUGUUCAGGUAAUAUGAGAACAGAAAUGUGUACUGUAAAUUUGUUUGCUUAACUCCAAUAUGACUUGAUGCAUGUUAAAAUGUUCUGUCUGUACUAUUCUGUGUUUUUCAGAGUAAAACUUGGGUAUGACUAUGGACUCAAUGUCUACACCAGUAAAGCUUCGUAUUCUCCUUGGAGAAGAUGACUGUGUCAAGCUAACAUUGCCUUCUGGAAUACCAGACUCUGUUGAUGGCCUUAAAUUUGAAAUUCAACAACAAUGUAGAAUUCAAGGAGAAUUCAGACUGCAGUACAUGGACAAUGAUUUUGGUGAAUUUAUGAACCUGACUUCAGCUGCAGAUAUCAAAGACAAGGGAACAGUGAAAGUGAUUUUAACAAGUAGGCAGUCAACACAAGGACCCAACUAUACUUCAUCUGCAUCUUUUGAUGAGGAGGAUGAUUCCACUCCAGACACUGAUAUACUUUCAUCCUCUGAGUCGACCACUUCAACUUCAACCACUUCUUCAACUUCAUCACUAAGAUGUCAAGGCUGGCCAUGCAGAUUUCCAAUUCCUCCAUUCUCCUAUGAAGUGGAAAUGCAGCUGUCUAGAGCAAACCAGGAAUUUCUUGCUGAAGGCAAGCACCUGAACCCAAGUUUCAAAGUCAGGUCAGACAUUUUGCAGGUCCUGGCUUCUGAAAUAAUGAAGUACACAAGUGGAUACCCAACUUCUGCACAAUUAGAUGAUGUUGCCAAAGCUUUGAUCAUAAAACAUCCUUGUUUGAAGGAACAGGGCUCUGUUCAGGGAUAUUAUGGUUGGAAAAUCAGUCUGAAAUACAAAAUGGGUAACUACCGCACUAAGCUCAGGAGUCUGGGUUGCCAAGAAAUGAGCAUUAACUCAAUGAAAAGCAGAAAGCCUUCUCACUCCUCAAGCCCUAACCAAGUAAAGAAACCCAGGAGAGCAGAAGUAAAUUUUUGUCCUGAUUACCCAGUUGGAGAAGACAAAGAAAGUCUUGAGAAAACGCGUGAAGAACUGCUUUUGGAGGUCAAAAAGAGGAACAACCAUCAAAUGGUUAAGCAGAAAAUGGAGAAAACCUUUGCACUUCGGCGGUAUGAGGUUGUUCAAGAUAUGCCACUCAUCGCAGAAUUAAAAAGUCGAUGGCCAGCUCUUUUUACGAAAAACGAGGCAAGACUUAUAUUUGGUGCAAAUGAAUAAAGUGUAAUUGAUUCUUGUGUGUAAAUCUUAUACUUUUUUUUGUCUUUGUUCAAAAACAUUCCCAGGUUUGCGCAGAGUUCACGCGCAUUACCACCAUUCCGCUCAUCCCAAAGUUUAUGUCGCAGCUGGACCAGUACUCAGACCAGUUGGCAAGAGUGCUUUGCAAGAAAGGUGGAGAAGUUGGACGAAAAAUUAAAAACAUCAUGGCUGCGAUUCACCAGAAGGAUUCUGUUGACACAAGAAGAGCUUGCAACCUCCAGGCAGUAGCCCUGUACCUAAACGAGGUCCCUGAAGAGCUAGUGAAGGAAUAUGACAGUGAAGAUUUUGAAGAGACCCAGAGAAAGUUGGAUCAGACUCUCAUCGGUAUCUAUGUGAUUAAACAUCCAGGUUCAUUUACUGAUCAGGCUCCAGAAGACGUUGGCAUCAUAGUUGAAGGUGUACAGGUACUUACUGGACUCAAUGAUGUUGCCACUGCUUUUGCCUUAUUGUUUGGCAUCAUCUACGACCUGAACCUGAGCUACCCCACUGAUCUCAGAUACACUUUUGAAUUCAUUCAAAAGAUUCUGAUGGAACUUGACACACACAGGCUUUCGAACAAAAUCCAAGUGCUCAAAAACAAAAUGCUGGAAUGAAUGCAUUAAGCCAUUACAGUAUUGUGCUAUUCAAGUCCUGAAAUGUUGUAGUUAAUGUGUUUUAUUGGCCUGAUUUAAGUGCCUGUUAAAAGUUUUAAACUUUGUUCUUACACCUAAAAUGUAUAUGUUUAAAGUGGUGUCUAACUACUGAGAUAGGACCAGAAUGCUGCUUUUGGUUGUUUCCCAGAGUACUCUUAAGAUUUUUUUUUUUAUUUGCCUUGUUGUGGCUGGACCCAGUGGCUCUAAAAAUGUUUUUAUUUUUUUUUUCAAUUUCUUUCCAAUGUUGAAAAGAAUUCCAUUUGCACUUAAUUUAAAAUGUUAAGCUUUCAAUUUAAAUGUCAGUGGUACUACUUGAUGCACAAACCUGUUAAAAAGGUAAUGUACCGGUACAUACAUAAAAAUUUGUAUUUUUGGAUAAGAAGCUGUUUCAGCUGUUUCUAGUUAAUAAAACUGCUGUUUGGAGUAUUCCAAUUGUAUUCAUGUCUUUCAUUAACAUUAAUUAACAUGAUCAAGUUGGUGUAACUCAGAUACAAGUCUUUUAAUUAAAGUAUAUCUAUUUAAUUCGUUGAACUUAACUAUGUCACAUUAGUUUUAUGUAAGUUUCAAUCAUAACGCUAAAGUAACCUAAUUAACUCUAAGUUACUUAAGUCACCACCAUACAAUUUACAUAAUAAUUUUAAGUAACUUGAAUGUAAGGAUGUUUAUUAACAUCUACUUAACAAAGUUGUGUGGAACCACUUGACAAAACAUUUUUAAGUAAA